rnacentral:rRNA from 1 species
UACGUAGGGUGCGAGCGUUAAUCGGAAUUACUGGGCGUAAAGCGUGCGCAGGCGGUUUUGUAAGACAGAUGUGAAAUCCCCGGGCUCAACCUGGGAACUGCGUUUGUGACUGCAAGGCUAGAGUACGGCAGAGGGGGGUGGAAUUCCUGGUGUAGCAGUGAAAUGCGUAGAGAUCAGGAGGAACACCGAUGGCGAAGGCAGCCCCCUGGGCCUGUACUGACGCUCAUGCACGAAAGCGUGGGGAGCAAAC